UGAAGCUAAUCACAUUAUUCCGGAUGUC
rnacentral:sRNA from 1 species